AUGACAACUGAACAAAAACGGAUACAUUUUCUCCCCUCCCCGGGAGUCUCAUCACGUUACCUGCAUUUUUCCCCUCCCCGGGGCUCAUCAACGUUACCCUGCCUUUUCUCUCCCUCCCCGGGAGUCUCAUCAACGCUACCCUACAUUUUCUCCCUCCCUGGGAGUCUCAUCAAACAUUACCCUGCAUUUUCUCCCCUCCCCGGGAGUCUCAUUACCACGCUACACCUACAUUUUCUCCCCUCCCUGGGAGUCUCAUCAACGGCUACCCUGCAUUUUCUCCCCUCCUGGGAGUCUCAUCAACAUUACCCUGCAUUUCUCCCCUACCCGGAGUCUACAUUCAAGUUACCCUGCAUUUUUUCCGCCUCUCCAGUUCAUCCAGACUAACCACAUAGCAAAA
rnacentral:lncRNA from 1 species